GACGAACGCUGGCGGCGUGCCUAAUACAUGCCAGUAGAACGCUGAAGGAGGAGCUUGCUCUUCUGGAUGAGUUGCGAACGGGUGAGUAACGCGUAGGUAACCUGCCUGGUAGCGGGGGAUAACUAUUGGAAACGAUAGCUAAUACCGCAUAAGAGUAGAUGUUGCAUGACAUUUACUUAAAAGGUGCAAUUGCAUCACUACCAGAUGGACCUGCGUUGUAUUAGCUAGUUGGUGGGGUAACGGCUUACCAAGGCGACGAUACAUAGCCGACCUGAGAGGGUGAUCGGCCACACUGGGACUGAGACACGGCCCAGACUCCUACGGGAGGCAGCAGUAGGGAAUCUUCGGCAAUGGACGGAAGUCUGACCGAGCAACGCCGCGUGAGUGAAGAAGGUUGUCGGAUCGUAAAGCUCUGUUGUAAGAGAAGAACGAGUGUGAGAGUGGAAAGUUCACACUGUGACGGUAUCUUACCAGAAAGGGACGGCUAACUACGUG
rnacentral:rRNA from 1 species